CGGGGAGUGGCGCAGCCUGGUAGCGCACUUGCAUGGGGUGCAAGGGGUCGCAGGUUCGAAUCCUGUCUCCCCGACCA
rnacentral:tRNA from 2 species